rnacentral:ncRNA from 1 species
GAGUUUGAUCCUGGCUCAGAAUAAAUGCUAUUGGUAUGCUUAACACAUGCAAGUCAAAUGUUGAAAAACAUGGCAAACGGGUGCGUAACACGUGAAUAAUCUACCCUUUAGUUCAGCAUAAUUAUUUUAUAAAAAUUCUGAAUAAAAAAUAAAGUUUAAAAAACGCUAUUGGAUGAGUUUGCGGAAGAUUAGGUAGUUGGUAGUUUAAAAGACUUACCAAGCCUACGAUCUUUAGCUGAUUUGAAAGAAUGAUCAGCCACAUUGGGACUGAGACACGGCCCAAACUUUUUUAAAGGCAGCAGUGAGGAAUAUUGGACAAUGGGCGAAAGCUUGAUCCAGCAAUACCAAGUGAGUGAAGAAGGCUAAUAGGUUGUAAAGCUCUUUCAUUUUCGUACAGUCGUCAAAAAGAACCACUUUUCAUCAAUAUGCACAUAUUGGUGCAUUUUGGAGAAAGUAGUCCUAUUUGGCGACUGUUGAAGUAAGGACAGUGCAUGUUCCAUGCGGCCACGAGCAUUUUCG